ensembl:lncRNA
GCCUGCCAUAACCUAAAGCAGGAGAAGGAAAAGAAGAAGAGCAUGAGUACAUUUUAGUUCUAGGUCGUUUGACGUUUGUGUAGUUGUGCGCAUAGACAUCCGGAGAGGACCCCUCUGAGGGGUAUUCCAUAAAGCGGGUUAUGUUCAAACUCUGAGUAUGUUUAGGCUCAAAUGAUGGAAACUCUGAGUAUCUCAGUCCAAAAAGCGAGGUAUGUUCUUCUCUGAGUAUGUUACCAUGUUGCCAUUGUCCGUAAACUAAACCUGGUCGCUGGCAGGUUUUAUCAAAGAAACCCUGGGUUUCUACCUGGCUCCGCCCACCUGAACACCGUUUCUUAACACUUUAAUAAACUUUAACACUUUUCUCUGAAACACAUUAGUAACAUCACACACCACAGACCUGCUGCCACGUCUCCUCAGACACAUUUUAUUCAUAUUAUUCACCGCUCGUCACGUCACUGAAGCAAUAAAGUGAUGAAGUGACCAAAAAGUGUGACUAAUUACGGGUGAUUUAAGCCACUAUAAUCACUAAAGACUGAACGCACCUUUAGAACAGGCUCAUAAUCCUCAAACACCAGCUUAUUUCACCAUUAGGGUGAAUAAAUCACUCUUCCGUUUGGUUGCCAUGGCAGUUUGAGUCAUCUCUGAUCCAUUGAUGAUGGCUUUUUAUCGCGCGUGCACGUAAGUAACCCAAGGUUUACAUACUCAGGGUUGAUUGACCCACUUCACACCAGUUUCUCAUCGCGGGGUAUGUUGACCCAGAGUUUAUGGAUAGACUCAGAGUUUGUUAACCCUCCUUUAUGGAAUACCUCUCUGCGGAGGGACACGUCAACAGCGCCGCCAUCUUGGACCGGUGAUGGUGGAGGCAGCGGUGCAUGGACUUUACGACUGAAAGAGGACAUCAAGGUGAAAGAGGCGGAGCCGCAACCUGAUCCUGGUCCAUGUGCUGCUGCAGAGACCAUAUUCUAACUUUCUAAAUCAAGCAGCAUCCAUAUAUGGUCUAUGAAACACACACACACACACACACACACACACACACACACACACACACACACAGCUGUACUGCUGAUUUCUCAUUAUGCUAACGAGCUUUUAAAAAGCUGUGUCACCGUCACUAAUCUGAUGAAUAUGCAUCACUGAGGGUGCCCCCCACAAGGCAGGGUGGAGGUCUCAGUGAGGGGGGGUGGGGGGUCUGCAGUCAGGAUAACUUAUCCACAGCCCCCCGAGACCUGCAUAAACAGAAAGCAGCCCUCACACGUUGACAGAGCUUCCAUUUCCUCCAAACCAACUCCUGACAUAUUCAGUCCCAACCUUUCAUUCCUUCACCAUGAAGCUUCCCCCGGGUCCACGACUUGGAGUGACAUGGAUGCUGACCCCCACCACUAUCCCACACCCCUCACUGCACAGCCUCACUUCGCCCCUGUCAUCCAUCCUCUCUCCUCCUUCCUUCUUCUCCUGAAGAAGAGCGAGUCCCUCCGGCUGCAGAUAACUUCCCGCAGGUAAACUUCUCCUUCUUAUUAUAUGUGCAUCACACAUUUUACUAUAUUAACUGUUUGGAAUCCUUUUGCAGUGUUUGAAUUGA